rnacentral:rRNA from 1 species
AUUGAACGCUGGCGGCAUGCCUUACACAUGCAAGUCGAACGGCAGCACGGGUGCUUGCACCUGGUUGCGAGUGGCGAACGGGUGAGUAAUACAUCGGAACAUGUCCUGUGGUGGGGGAUAGCCCGGCGAAAGCCGGAUUAAUACCGCCUCCGAUCUACGGAUGAAAGCGGGGGACCUUCGUGCCUCGCGCUAUAGGGUUGGCCGGUGGCUGAUUAGCUAGUUGGUGGGGUGAUGGCCUACCAAGGCGACGAUCAGUAGCUGGUCUGAGAGGACGACCAGCCACACGGGGACGGAGACACGGCCCAGACUCCUAAGGGAGGCAGCAGUGGGGAAUGUUGGACAAUGGGCGAAAGUCUGAUCCAGCAAGGCCGAGUGUGUGAAGAAGGCCUUCGGGUUGUAAAGCACGUUUGUCCGGAAAGAAAUCCUUGGACCUAAUACGGUCGGGGGAUGACGGUACCGGAAGAAGAAGCACCGGCUAACUACGUG